CUCUCCGACCCGCCCUUCCAGGAUGUCGGGGAGAUGGUUUUCGGACGGGUCCGCCCUGCCACUGCGCAUGCGCACUCGGCCUACUGGCCUGGCGCCUUGUGCGUGCGUGCGUGGUGUGGCGUGCGUGGCGUGGCGUGGCGCAGUGCAGUGUGGUGCGGUGCCGUAGACGGAAGAGCGCGACAGAGAGCGGCGGAGAGCGGUGACGACGAGCAGCGGCGACGAGCAGCGGCGAACGCGAAGGCACCACAGGCCUGAGAGAGAAGAUCAAAGUAUUUUACCCACCGGGGAAGUUUCUCAACUGGAAUUCCAGCAUCUUGAGCUUCAGGUUCUGGAGCACUGAAAUGUGGUGCAUGUACACCAUGGAAUAUUACUCAGCAAUCAAAAAAGAUAAACUCAUGCCAUUGGCAGCAACAUGGACGGAGCUGGAAGGGAUCAUGCUCAGCAAAAUAACCCAGAAAGAAAAAGAAAAAUACUGGGUCUCUUUGGUGCCACAAAGGGUUAAGACUCAACCUAUGAAGCUGUGCUCAGCCACUGCAGCAUGAGUUCGAUUCCCCACCCAGCCAGGGAGCUACCCACAUGGCGCAGCAGGCCUCUCCUGUCUCACCCUCUGCUCCCCUCAGCACUGUACUUCGGUCAAUCUGCCUGUUCUGCUCCCCACUCUGUCUCUGGUGAAUCCUCUUACCCCCUGCACCUCUGGCCUGUGCCCCAGUUCUUGUA